rnacentral:ncRNA from 1 species
CGAGUUUCCCUCAGGAUAGCUAGAGUCUUUAUCAGUUUUGUCAGGUAAAGCGAAUGAUUAGAGGUUCCGGGGAAGUAACUUCCUCGACCUAUUCUCAAACUUUAAAUGGGCAAGAUCCAGUAGUUACUUAAUUGAACUAUUGGGGUCAAUGAGACGACUCUAAGUGGGCCAUUUUUGGUAAGCAGAACUGGCGAUGAGGGAUGAACCUAACGCUCGGUUAAGGUGCUAAACUGCUCGCUCAUCAGAUACCACAAAGGGUGUUGGUCGAUCUUAACAGCAGGACGGUGGUCAUGGAAGUCGAAAUCCGCUAAGGAGUGUGUAACAACUCACCUGCCGAAUCGACUAGCCCCGAAAAUGGAUAGCGCUGAAGCGAGUGACCGAUACCGGGCCAUUGUUGCAAGAUAAUUGGCAACAAUGAGUAGGAGGGCGUGGGGGUUGUGAAGAAGCUUGGACGUGAGUCUGAGUGAAACAGCUUCCAGUGCAGAUCUUGGUGGUAGUAGCAAGUAUUCAAUAAGAGAACAUUGAAGGCCGAAGUGGGGAAGGGUUCCAUGUGAACAGCACUUGGACAUGGGUUAGCCGAUCCUGAGAGACAGGUUAAAUUCCAUCGGAUUGGAGCUUUGGCUCUGUUUCUCGAAAGGGAAGCUGGUUAGUAUUCCAGCGCCGAGACGUGGAUAAUAUGUGGCAACACAAGUGAACUCGGACACGCCAUAGGGGACCCCAGGAAGCGUUGUCUUUUCUUUUUAACAGUUCGACUUACCCUGGAAUCAGAUCAUCUGGAGAUAGGGUUUUCGAACUGGAAUAGCACCUUGUCUAACAGGGUGUCUGGAGUGUUCUCGCUGGCCCUUGAAAAUCCGAGGGAUAGAUUUAUUCGCACUCUCGAUCGUACCCAUAACCGCAUCAGGUCUCCAAGGUUAGAAGCCUCUGGUCCGUAGGACAAAGUAGAUAAGGGAAGUCGGCAAAAUAGGUCCGUAACUUCGGGAAAAGGACUGGCUCUGAGGUUUGGUAUGUGGAACCUGGAUUAAUCGUGGAGUCGAGCAGAGACUACUUGUUGCUCACGUGACUUGGUGGACU